rnacentral:misc_RNA from 1 species
GGUAUUCGCGGCACCGCGGUGCUGGUGGAAAUCGGCGCGAACGACGGACCGACAAAAUUCUCGGUGCUGGUCGAGCCGGACGGGCAUACCGGCUCCUACAAUCUCUACGACAAGACGACCGGCCAGUUGAUCGGAACGGUGUCGCAGGCCGGGCAGGUGACCUACGUGUCGGUCAGCGGCGUUGGCCAGCCUCCGACAGCGAUUGAACAGCUCAAGACGCUCGCGGAUCAGGAAUCCGCGAAGACACUGAUUCAGGAAGUCUUCAAGCUUUACUUCCCGAACUACAAUCCGGACAACGCCAAUCCGAAGUCGC